rnacentral:tRNA from 1 species
UGCAUCGGCCGGGAAUCGAACCCGGGGUGCCCGCGUUUCUACCACUGAACCAAAAGC